rnacentral:rRNA from 1 species
UACAGAGGUCUCAAGCGUUGUUCGGAUUCAUUGGGCGUAAAGGGUGCGUAGGUGGUUUGGUAAGUCGGAUGUGAAAUCCCGGGGCUCAACCCCGGAACUGCAUUCGAUACUGCUUUAACUUGAGUCCUGGAGAGGAGAUCGGAAUUUACGGUGUAGCAGUGAAAUGCGUAGAUAUCGUAAGGAAGACCAGUGGCGAAGGCGGAUCUCUGGACAGGAACUGACACUGAGGCACGAAGGCCAGGGGAGCAAACGGG